UCUGAGAGUUUCACAGAUUCCCCAGGUGACAGCAAUGUAUGAUUCAGGGAGCAUUCUUUGAGAAACUCUGAACCUUAGUAAAAGAAGAAAUGGGCACUAACGAAAAAGCAAAAACACACAGGUGAGCAUUGUGGCUGCAUGCUCAGCCUGAGAAGCAUUAAUAUCAAAACAGAAACUGGAUUUACAGAAGUCAGUGGAACGUGGCAUUUAAAUCGCACAGCCACGAAAUGCUCCCCGUGGCUGAAUGCUAUGAACCUGCUAAUGAGGCUGCUUAAACCCAGGAGGCAACAUUCGUGUUGAAGGGCCGGGAGAGGACGGGCCAGGGGACGGCCCAGCUCAGCCAUCCGUCAGGUGGCCGGUUUUCCUGUCGUAGUAACAGUUGCUGAGGGUUCAGACACUGUAGCUGCUCAGGAGUCGCCCUCCCCCGGGGCCUCCAGUGCACACAGACGGCAGCGACCAUCUCGGACAGCCCCCCCCCCCCAACUUGGAGGUCAAACCCCUGCACAUCUUCAGACCUUUCCUGGCAGGAGUGGGUCUCCCUACGGGGCAAACCGCAUGGAGAGAAGGGCAGGUGAGGAGACAGCGAGAGACCCGGAAGAUUUCAUGCAGCUGCAAUGAUACUCUCCUCAUCUCAAUAACCGGACACGGCACCUCUCCUCUUGUGAGGAGGAGCCCAGAGAGAAAUACUUCUGGGGGACGAGAAGAGCUUAUGCUAUGGGCCACCAGGAAUUCAGGGAGAGGAAGAAAAUGUUUUUCCCACGGAGCCUAUGAUCCACGAGGCCAAGUGGGAAAGACUCGCUCUCUGCUCCGUAUCUCUUUACCCGGUUGGUCAGGACUGAACCUGCUCUUGCUCCUUUUAGUUGAGAUAAAAGCUUUCAUCGGAGUCAUUUCACUUACGUUGGCUUCUCCUGAGGUAGCCGUGCUAGCCUGCGAAAGUGCCCAAACGUAGCUAUGGCCGCACAUCAGCUGCCGCGUAGCCUAGGUUUAAAUGGAGAUGCUUGAGACCAUGCGCACCCACACGCACAAACAUAGGUAUUAUAUAUACAAUAUAUAACCUCAAAGUCUGGACUGCUUUCGACACGGCACCCCCACCCCCAUCCCCUUACCUACACAAAGAAGAGGUCGUGUAAAGACACAAGGAGCAGCUGGCUUCCAGGAAGAGGGUCCUCAUCAGAAGCCAACCACGGUGUCACCUUGAUCUUGGACUUCUCGCCUCCAGAGCUGUAAGGAAAUAAAAUUCUGUUGUUGAG